rnacentral:lncRNA from 1 species
GUCGGUCACCUUAGCAACCUGCAGGGCUCAGCUCAGCCCAGUUUGCAGAAUCUAAUCCAGCAAGGUUCAUUUGCCCACUGGUCUUUCAAAAACCCCUUGGGAGGCCAUCAAGAGCUGGAGACCUGGGCUGGGAGGUCACAAAGCCCUGAACCUCAGGUUGUGGGUGGGAAUCAGGGAGCAGCAGUACCAUGUGAUCAGAGAAGACAGGAGGAUAUGUACGUGGGAGAGAAGAGGAAUAAGAAGCAAAUCAGAAAAACAGGGAAAGGAGAAAGGUGACACAAGAAGGGAACAGUAAGGUGAGCAGCCAGUGGGGAGCACCAUCUGCUUCAGAGGGCACAAGGACCGGGGGUUGGCAGCUGUUUGUGCCUCAGCCACCUCCAUGAAUGCCAGCUGGCUCAGCAGCAGGACCCAGGGCAGCCUGCCCUCUGGUCACUCCCCUGCCAUGGGCCGGCAGCCACUCAAUCCCAAGGCAGAACAGAGG